AUUGAACGCUGGCGGAAUGCUUUACACAUGCAAGUCGAACGGCAGCACGGGGGCAGCCCUGGUGGCGAGUGGCGAACGGGUGAGUAAUACAUCGGAACGUGCCCGGUCGUGGGGGAUAACGUAGCGAAAGUUACGCUAAUACCGCAUACGAUCUGAGGAUGAAAGCGGGGGACCUUCGGGCCUCGCGCGAUCGGAGCGGCCGAUGUCAGAUUAGGUAGUUGGUAGGGUAAAGGCCUACCAAGCCGACGAUCUGUAGCUGGUCUGAGAGGACGACCAGCCACACUGGGACUGAGACACGGCCCAGACUCCUACGGGAGGCAGCAGUGGGGAAUUUUGGACAAUGGGCGCAAGCCUGAUCCAGCCAUUCCGCGUGCAGGACGAAGGCCUUCGGGUUGUAAACUGCUUUUGUACGGAACGAAAAGGCUCUGGCUAAUACCUGGGGCUCAUGACGGUACCGUAAGAAUAAGCACCGGCUAACUACGUG
rnacentral:rRNA from 1 species